rnacentral:rRNA from 1 species
GCGGUAACACCGGCAGCCCGAGUGGUGAUCACUAUUAUUGGGUCUAAAGGGUCCGUAGCCGGUUUAAUCAGUCUUCUGGGAAAUCUAAUCGCUUAACUAUUAGGCUUCCAGGGGAUACUGUUAGACUUGGGACCGGGAGAGGUAAGAGGUACUGCAGGGGUAGGAGUGAAAUCUUGUAAUCCCUGUGAGACCACCAGUGGCGAAGGCGUCUUACCAGAACGGAUCCGACGGUGAGGGACGAAAGCUGGGGGCACGAACCGGAUUAGAUACCCGGGUAGUCCCAGCUGUAAACGAUGCUCGUUAGGUGUCAGGAACGGUGCGACUGUUUCUGGUGCCGAAGGGAAGCCGUGAAACGAGCCACCUGGGAAGUACGGCCGCAAGGCUGAAACUUAAAGGAAUUGGCGGGGGAGCACUACAACGGGUGGAGCCUGCGGUUUAAUUGGACUCAACGCCGGAAAACUCACCGGGGGCGACAGCAAUAUGUAGGUCAGGUUAAAGGUCUUACCUGAAUCGCUGAGAGGAGGUGCAUGGCCGUCGUCAGUUCGUACUGUGAAGCAUCCUGUUAAGUCAGGCAACGAGCAAGACCCGUGCCCACUGUUACCAGCAUAUCCUUUAUGGAUGAUGGGGACUCUGUGGGGACCGCUGCUGCUAAAGCAGAGGAAGGUGCGGGCUACGGUAGGUCAGUAUGCCCCGAAUCUCCCGGGCUACACGCGGGCUACAAUGGUUGGGACAAUGGGUAUCUACUCCGAAAGGAGUUGGCAAUCUCUUAAACCCAAUCGUAGUUCGAAUUGAGGGCUGUAACUCGCCCUCAUGAAGCUGGAAUCCGUAGUAAUCGCGUUUCAACAUAGCGCGGU